rnacentral:rRNA from 1 species
AUACGGAGGGUGCAAGCGUUAAUCGGAAUUACUGGGCGUAAAGAGUACGUAGGUGGUUUAUUAAGUCAGAUGUGAAAGCCCCGGGCUUAACCUGGGAACUGCAUUUGAUACUGGCAAACUAGAGUAUGGUAGAGGCGGGUAGAAUUCCUAGUGUAGCGGUGAAAUGCGUAGAUAUUAGGAGGAAGACCAGUGGCGAAGGCGGCCCGCUAGACCAAUACUGACACUGAGGUACGAAAGCGUGGGUAGCGAACAGAAUUAGAAACCCUAGUAGUCC